AGCAGGCUGGACAGCCGCGCGCGAAGGCCCAACGGCCCAGCGUGAGGAAAGUCCGGGCUCCAUAGGGCAAGGAUAACGGGUAACACCCGCCGAAGGCGACUUCAGGACAAGUGCAACAGAAAUAUACCGCCGGCUGUUGGCCAUCGCUAUGUCACUUUUUUUGAUGCCAUCGCGCAUCGCUGGUAGCGCAUCUGGUCCGGUCCGGUAAGGGUGGAAAGGCGAGGUAAGAGCUCACCGGCUGACUGGGAACAGCUCAGCCCUGUAAACUCUAUCCGGGAGCAAUACCGUGGAGGAAACAUGUGGCCGGCCCGGCCGUUUUCGAGGAGGUAGCUAGAGCCUGGCGGCAACGUCAGGUCGAGAUAGAUGGCUGUCAAAACAGAACCCGGCUUAUAGGCCUACUUG
rnacentral:RNase_P_RNA from 1 species